rnacentral:rRNA from 1 species
UACGUAGGUGGCAAGCGUUAUCCGGAUUUAUUGGGCGUAAAGGGAACGCAGGCGGUCUUUUAAGUCUGAUGUGAAAGCCUUCGGCUUAACCGGAGUAGUGCAUUGGAAACUGGGAGACUUAAGUGCAGAAGAGGAGAGUGGAACUCCAUGUGUAGCGGUGAAGUGCGUAGAUAUAUGGAAGAACACCAGUGGCGAAAGCGGCUCUCUGGUCUGUAACUGACGCUGAGGUUCGAAAGCGUGGGUAGCAAACAGG